rnacentral:rRNA from 1 species
GACGAACGCUGGCGGCGUGCCUAAUACAUGCAAGUAGAACGCUGAAGGAGGAGCUUGCUUCUCUGGAUGAGUUGCGAACGGGUGAGUAACGCGUAGGUAACCUGCCUGGUAGCGGGGGAUAACUAUUGGAAACGAUAGCUAAUACCGCAUAAGAGUAGAUGUUGCAUGACAUUUGCUUAAAAGGUGCAAUUGCAUCACUACCAGAUGGACCUGCGUUGUAUUAGCUAGUUGGUGGGGUAACGGCUCACCAAGGCGACGAUACAUAGCCGACCUGAGAGGGUGAUCGGCCACCCUGGGACUGAGACACGGCCCAGACUCCUACGGGAGGCAGCAGUAGGGAAUCUUCGGCAAUGGACGGAAGUCUGACCGAGCAACGCCGCGUGAGUGAAGAAGGGUUUCGGAUCGUAAAGCUCUGUUGUAAGAGAAGAACGAGUGUGAGAGUGGAAAGUUCACACUGUGACGGUAUCUUACCAGAAAGGGACGGCUAACUACGUG